GUCUCUGUGGCUCAAUUGGUCAGCGCAUCUGGCUGUUAACCAAAAGGUUGGUGGUACGAGUCCACCCAGGGACA